GAUAACACAAUCAGCGGCGACUA
rnacentral:siRNA from 1 species